rnacentral:rRNA from 1 species
AUUGAACGCUGGCGGCAGGCCUAACACAUCCAAGUCGAGCGAGCGGCGGACGGGUGUGUAAUGUAUGGGGACUGCCCGAUAGAGGGGGCUAACUACUGGCAACCGUGGCUAAUACCGCAUACUGUCGGAUAACCCAUAUGGGAUUAGCUAGUUGGUAAGGUAAUGGCUUACCUAGGCGACGAUCCCUAGCUGGUGUGAGAGGAUGAUCAGGGAGACGGGGACUGAGACACGGGCCAGACUGCAAGGGAGGCAGGAGAGGGGAAUAUAGGACAAUGGGCGGAAGCAGGAUGGAGACAUGCGGAGUGUAUGAAGAAGGCGAUAGGGUUGGAAAGUACUUUCAGUCGGGAGGCGUUACCGAAAGAAGAAGAACCGGCUAACUCCGUGCCAGCAGGCGCGGUAAUAG